GACGAACGCUGGCGGCGGGCUUAACACAUGCAAGUCGAACGGAAAGGCCCUGGUUGUGUGGGGUGCUCGAGUGGCGAACGGGUGAGUAACACGUGAGUAACCUGCCCUUGACUUUGGGAUAACUUCAGGAAAGUGGGGCUAAUUACUGAUAGGAGCUCCUGCUGCAUGGCGGGGGUUGGUAAGUUUCGGCGGUUGGGGAUGGACUGGGGGCUUAUCAGCUUGUUGGUGGGGUAGUGGCUUACCAAGGCUUUGACGGGUAGCCGGCCUGAGAGGGUGACCGGCCACAUUGGGACUGAGAUACGGCCCAGACUCCUACGGGAGGCAGCAGUGGGGAGUAUUGCACAAUGGGCGGAAGCCUGAUGCAGCAACGCCGCGUGCGGGAUGACGGCCUUCGGGUUGUAAACCGCUUUCGCCUGUGACGAAGCGUGAGUGACGGUAAUGGGUAAAGAAGCACCGGCUAACUACGUG
rnacentral:rRNA from 1 species